ACGGAGGAUCCAAGCGUUAUCCGGAUUUAUUGGGUUUAAAGGGUGCGCAGGCGGAUCAAUAAGUCAGGGGUGAAAAAUUUCAGCUUAACUGGAAUCGUGCCUUUGAUACUGUUGGACUAGAGUAUAAUUGACGUGACUGGAAUGUGAUGUGUAGCGGUGAAAUGCUUAGAGAUAUCACAUAACGCCAAUGGUGAAGUCAGCACACGAGAUUAGAACUGACGCUCAUGUGCGAAAGCGUGUGGAUCAAACAU
rnacentral:rRNA from 1 species